AAUAAGUGCAAUCGUAGUAAUCCGUGUCGAAGGUUUGACCGUUCGUCUUAUUUAAAAAUUUUAUGAAAAUAUUAAAAAAAGUUAGUCACACAUAAAAUACUAUUUAUGUUUUAUCAUCUACUAACAAUAAAAAUACUAAUCAUAGAAAAAUUUCAAAUAAGACGAACGGUCAAACGUUGGACGUGAACAAUAUAAAAAUGCACCUAUU
rnacentral:pre_miRNA from 1 species